AUCAACAAAAGAAAAAAGGAAUUAGGUUUAAGAAUUGUGUGACCUUUGGGAUUUUGUUCAUCCCGUUCAUCUCUCAAAUGGUGGUCGGCAUCCUCAUCUCCUUCUCUGAUCAAAUACUGAAGUCUCCAUUUCAAUCGAUCCCCUCUCUCGGCUCGUUUCUCUCGUUGCUUCCUCCUCCGAUUUCAAUCUCUCUUCGUUCCGCUUUGUCUUCGUAUAUUCCAUGUCGAUGUUGGUUGCUCAGGUGAUGAUAUGUGUUGAAAAUUCGACGAGAAGGCAAGGCGAAGAUGAUGUUGUUGUUCGCAGUGACGAUGCGGAUUGAAGAAUUGCGUGCAGUUGUAGAAUCGGAUCGUUGCGGGCUCGUGAUAAUUCGAUGAUGCUUAGGUGCGAUGUUGAACGCGCUUCGGUACGCUGUAAGGUUGCGUUUAAGAGCUGCGAUGAUCUUCGAAGUCAGGUACAGAAUCCGUUCACCACACAUGCGUUGAGCGUUCUUACACGGAUUGGCUUGUGAACUUCGAUUCAGGGAUGUUGUCUUUCCUCUUCUAAAUUCCCCUGCGUUCAUUUGAGAUUCAUUAUGUUGUGGUGACGAUGAUUAUCACUUCAUUGUUCUUGCAGAUGAUGGAUUGAAGGUUGAUGAUGAACGAUGCGGUUCGGUGAGCCUUAUGGAGAUUUGAUGAUGAUGCGAUGAUGAAGAUGAAAAAGAUGAUUUGCCGAAGCUUGUUACAUGAAGGUGAUUGAGUGAAUAAGAUGAGCCGAGAGUUGAAGAUUGAAGAAGUGAUUCUCGAUUCAAGUUUUUGUGUAGAAACAAGAGUGAUUAUUGAGAGUUUCUGCUAUGGUGACUGAAUCAGAGAGAAGAUUGGUGAAGAGCGAUGAUGAUUGAAGUGCUUGAAGGUCGAGAAUCCAUAAACGGUUAUGGAGAUUUGAAGAAAAGAGGUUGUUGAUGAUGGUGAGGUUGAGAGAAGAUUCAGGAGAGAAUUGUAGGAUUGUUGAGGAUUGAAGAUUCAGCGAGAUUUUUCUGUUGAAAAGUUUGUUACGAUCUGUUACAGUUGUAGGUCUUGAUUUGUUCAUAAGCAUAAUUUUGGAUGCCACCUUGGAUUUUCAGUUUGAAUUUCAAGUCGGUAAAGUGCAUGUCAUGGAAUUAUGUAGGAGCUCCCUUUUGAUACCAUUUUAGUUCAGCUUUUAUUAUGCAGGGAUUUUUGAGUAUCAGCUGUAAAGCAAGCUUCAAAUUGUGAAAAUUAAUUGUCGAGUCAAAUGUUGCAAGUUUGGAGUAGUUAAAUGGAGAUGAAUCAAGACUUAGGAUUUUGGAUUGUGUAAUCUUUUGUAUGUUUUUAUUGUAAUGGACUUUGGAUUAUAUUUGAACUUGAAUGAUGUAAUGGACA